UACAGAGGGUGCAAGCGUUAAUCGGAAUUACUGGGCGUAAAGGGUGUGUAGGUGGUUGCGUAAGUUAGAUGUGAAAUCCCCGGGCUUAACCUGGGAACUGCGUUUAAAACUGCGUAGCUAGAGUAUUGCAGAGGAUAGUGGAAUUUCCAGUGUAGCGGUGAAAUGCGUAGAUAUUGGAAGGAACACCAGUGGCGAAGGCGACUAUCUGGGCAAAUACUGACACUGAGACACGAAAGCAUGGGGAGCAAACAGG
rnacentral:misc_RNA from 1 species